rnacentral:rRNA from 1 species
AAUUUGGACUGUAGUGGCACUCAGUUCUUGGAUAACACCAUGGGAAGUCUCAUGAACCUUAUCACUUAGAGGAARGAGAAGUCGUAACAAGGUUUCUGUAGGUGAACCUGCAGAAGGAUCAUUU